GGGUUGUGAGGUUAAGCGACUAAGCGUACACGGUGGAUGCCCUGGCAGUCAGAGGCGAUGAAGGACGUGCUAAUCUGCGAUAAGCGUCGGUAAGGUGAUAUGAACCGUUAUAACCGGCGAUUUCCGAAUGGGGAAACCCAGUGUGAUUCGUCACACUAUCAUUAACUGAAUCCAUAGGUUAAUGAGGCGAACCGGGGGAACUGAAACAUCUAAGUACCCCGAGGAAAAGAAAUCAACCGAGAUUCCCCCAGUAGCGGCGAGCGAACGGGGAGGAGCCCAGAGCCUGAAUCAGUGUGUGUGUUAGUGGAAGCGUCUGGAAAGGCGUGCGAUACAGGGUGACAGCCCCGUACACAAAAAUGCACAUACUGUGAGCUCGAUGAGUAGGGCGGGACACGUGGUAUCCUGUCUGAAUAUGGGGGGACCAUCCUCCAAGGCUAAAUACUCCUGACUGACCGAUAGUGAACCAGUACCGUGAGGGAAAGGCGAAAAGAACCCCGGCGAGGGGAGUGAAAAAGAACCUGAAACCGUGUACGUACAAGCAGUGGGAGCCUCUUAAUGGGGUGACUGCGUACCUUUUGUAUAAUGGGUCAGCGACUUAUAUUCUGUAGCAAGGUUAACCGAAUAGGGGAGCCGAAGGGAAACCGAGUCUUAACUGGGCGUUAAGUUGCAGGGUAUAGACCCGAAACCCGGUGAUCUAGCCAUGGGCAGGUUGAAGGUUGGGUAACACUAACUGGAGGACCGAACCGACUAAUGUUGAAAAAUUAGCGGAUGACUUGUGGCUGGGGGUGAAAGGCCAAUCAAACCGGGAGAUAGCUGGUUCUCCCCGAAAGCUAUUUAGGUAGCGCCUCGUGAAUUCAUCUCCGGGGGUAGAGCACUGUUUCGGCAAGGGGGUCAUCCCGACUUACCAACCCGAUGCAAACUGCGAAUACCGGAGAAUGUUAUCACGGGAGACACACGGCGGGUGCUAACGUCCGUCGUGAAGAGGGAAACAACCCAGACCGCCAGCUAAGGUCCCAAAGUCAUGGUUAAGUGGGAAACGAUGUGGGAAGGCCCAGACAGCCAGGAUGUUGGCUUAGAAGCAGCCAUCAUUUAAAGAAAGCGUAAUAGCUCACUGGUCGAGUCGGCCUGCGCGGAAGAUGUAACGGGGCUAAACCAUGCACCGAAGCUGCGGCAGCGACACUAUGUGUUGUUGGGUAGGGGAGCGUUCUGUAAGCCUGUGAAGGUGUACUGUGAGGUAUGCUGGAGGUAUCAGAAGUGCGAAUGCUGACAUAAGUAACGAUAAAGCGGGUGAAAAGCCCGCUCGCCGGAAGACCAAGGGUUCCUGUCCAACGUUAAUCGGGGCAGGGUGAGUCGACCCCUAAGGCGAGGCCGAAAGGCGUAGUCGAUGGGAAACAGGUUAAUAUUCCUGUACUUGGUGUUACUGCGAAGGGGGGACGGAGAAGGCUAUGUUGGCCGGGCGACGGUUGUCCCGGUUUAAGCGUGUAGGCUGGUUUUCCAGGCAAAUCCGGAAAAUCAAGGCUGAGGCGUGAUGACGAGGCACUACGGUGCUGAAGCAACAAAUGCCCUGCUUCCAGGAAAAGCCUCUAAGCAUCAGGUAACAUCAAAUCGUACCCCAAACCGACACAGGUGGUCAGGUAGAGAAUACCAAGGCGCUUGAGAGAACUCGGGUGAAGGAACUAGGCAAAAUGGUGCCGUAACUUCGGGAGAAGGCAC
rnacentral:rRNA from 1 species